AGCAAAGUAGCAAACCCUUCGUUCUAUUCAGCACUGGCCGCCUCGGCAGCACCCAAACCCACACACAGAGCAAGGAAAUGGCGAUCGCGAUCUCGCAGGAGGCCUUCGACGCCAUGGUCCGGGAGAACAUGGAGGACCUCGGCAUGGACGCCGAUGAGGCUCUUGCCGACGCCGUCGAAGCCCUCACUCUCCAGGGCGAUGAUCUGUCCGGGAUCAUCGAGCGCGUGCCUGGAGAGGCCGCCGCAGCGGAGGUGAGCCCUGUGGUGCGGCUGCUGGACGAACUGAAGGCCUCUCACAGCGCCAGUGGCGGGUCGGGGCAGGAUCUCGACGGGUUGGUCUCUCUUAUCGAUGAGUUGCGCGGCCUGUGCAGCUCCGGAGAGGGAUCGGAGAAUGCAGCGGUUGCGGUGCGGAAUGGCGGUGUCGAGGCGCUCGUCGCCCUGUGCGGGUCGGCUCGAGUUGCCCAGGAGAGGCUGCUUGUGUCGGCCUUAAAGGCUCUGAGCUCCGUGCUCCGUGAUGUUGGAAGCACCGAAAAGUUCAGACAAAGUGAGGGGCCCAAAAUUGUCAUGGAUAUCUUGAAAGGAUGCUCAGAAAGUUCAGAUUUACUGGAUGCUGGAUUUAGUGUUGUGGCAGCAGGUUCUGCUGGCAAUGAAGUUGUGAAAGAAUCCUUUAUGGACUUAAAGGUUGAUGAACUCAUUCUACAUGUUAUGAGGGAGAAAUAAAAAACUAAUGUGCAGAGCUUGUAUGAUGCCAUACGUGUUCUGUUGACGCCUGAUGACAACCGAGUGGUGGCUUCUCAAGUAUAUGGAUACUCCCGGAGAUUUGCAGAAAUUGGGAUGGCAGAAGUUCUUGUCAGUGCACUUCGUGAACAAGUUGCUCCUUCCAGCUUGCUAUCUGCUUGUGCUGCUUUAAAGUCAAUCGCUGUCAAUGAUGAAAUAUGUCAUUCAAUAUCUGAAAAUGGUGGAAUCAAUGUGCUGCUUCAAUGCAUUGAUGAGGCUGGUCAACAGAAGAACAAAGUUAUUGCAAGAUCUUGCUGUUCUCUGUUGUCAAAGCUGGCUGCGAGUGAUGCAAACAAGUCUGUUAUCAUCCAGCGAGGUGGUUUUGACAGAUUCUUACAGCUGACUUCCAGAUUUUCUGAAGAUCCUUCUAUAAUACAAGAGGUGAUGUCCAUGGUAACGGUUCUUACAUUGAGAUCGCCGGAAAAUGCAGCACGUGCAAUGGAAGUAGGCUAUGGAACUCUGGCGAUCCAGGCAUUGCAAAGGUUCCCCUCCUCCGGCCAGACUCAGAAGCAAGCUUGCCUUAUGAUUCGUAAUCUUGUCCGAAACCCUGAGAACAGGACCAUCCUACUUAACGAUGGUGCAGAGAAGCUUAUUAGAAAGGCCAAGGUGAUGCAUGGAGGCUGCAAAGAUGCUGCCUCGUCAGCCUUGAGGGACCUGGGCUUGGACAAGUACAACGCAUAGACACCAUACGAAGUAUACGUUGUGUUAAGUUUGGCCAUGGUAGAAUGUUUUGUAGAAUUGUGUUAAGUUAUGGUGACACGAUGGAAUGAGUUUGUAGAAUUGUUCUACCGUGCUUGCAUCUGUAACUAGGCCCCAGUUUUGUGUGAGCCCAACUGCAGGGCUGCAUGAUACUACUAGCUAGCAGAGGUGUUUUGUUUAAAGAAUCACCUCGCCAAGAAUGGAAUGGUCCAUCAUGAAGUCAACGUAUGAAAUUUGGUGCUUGUGGGAUGA